CGAGUUGGCCGGGCGGCCGCGGAUCCCGGGUUCACCCCGGGACUCGAGGAAAGUCCGGACUUCACAGAGCAGGGUGAUUGUUAACGGCAAUCCGGGGAAACUCGCGGGAAAGUGCCACAGAAAGUAGACCGCCACCUGUGCCCUUCGGGGCGUAGGGGGUAAGGGUGAAACGGUGCGGUAAGAGCGCACCAGCAUCCCGGGUGACCGGGAUGGCUAGGUAAACCCCACCCGAAGCAAGGCCAAGAAGGCCGCAACCUGGUUGUGGCUGCGCACGCGUUCGAGGGCUGCUCGCCCGAGCGUGCGGGUAGGCCGCUUGAGGCACCCGGCGACGGUGUGUCCAGAUGGAUGGUCGCCGCCUCACCGGAUACCUCCGGUGAGGAACAGAAUCCGGCUUACAGGCCAGCUCGUCCG
rnacentral:RNase_P_RNA from 3 species